rnacentral:rRNA from 1 species
UACGAAGGGGGCUAGCGUUGUUCGGAUUUACUGGGCGUAAAGCGCACGUAGGCGGAUUGUUAAGUCGGGGGUGAAAUCCUGGAGCUCAACUCCAGAAUUGCCUUCGAUACUGGCUUUCUAGAGGCUGGAAGAGGUUAGUGGAAUUCCCAGUGUAGAGGUGAAAUUCGUAGAUAUUGGGAAGAACACCAGUGGCGAGGGCGGCUAACUGGUCCAGAUCUGACGCUGAGGUGCGAAAGCGUGGGGAGCAAACAGG